AUUGAACGCUGGCGGCAUGCCUUACUCAUGCAAGUCGAACGGUAACAGGUCUUCGGAUGCUGACGAGUGGCGAACGGGUGAGUAAUACAUCGGAACGUGCCUAGUAGUGGGGGAUAACUACUCGAAAGAGUGGCUGAUACCGCAUGAGAUCUACGGAUGAAAGCAGGGGAUCGCAAGACCUUGUGCUACUAGAGCGGCCGAUGGCAGAUUAGGUAGUUGGUGGGAUAAAAGCUUACCAAGCCGACGAUCUGUAGCUGGUCUGAGAGGACGAUCAGCCACACUGGGACUGAGACACGGCCCAGACUCCUACGGGAGGCAGCAGUGGGGAAUUUUGGACAAUGGGCGAAGGCCUGAUCCAGCAAUGCCGCGUGCAGGAUGAAGGCCUUCGGGUUGUAAACUGCUUUUGUACGGAACGAAAAGCCCCGGGUUAAUACCCUGGGGUCAUGACGGUACCGUAAGAAUAAGCACCGGCUAACUACGUGCCAGCAGCCGCCGUAA
rnacentral:rRNA from 1 species